GACGUAGGGUCCGAGCGUUGUCCGGAAUUAUUGGGCGUAAAGAGCUCGUAGGCGGUCUGUCGCGUCCGUUGUGAAAACUCGAGGCUCAACCUCGGGCUUGCAGUGGAUACGGGCAGACUAGAGUGCGGUAGGGGAGACUGGAAUUCCUGGUGUAGCGGUGAAAUGCGCAGAUAUCAGGAGGAACACCGGUGGCGAAGGCGGGUCUCUGGGCCGUAACUGACGCUGAGGAGCGAAAGCAUGGGGAGCGAACAGG
rnacentral:rRNA from 1 species